UACGGAGGGAGCUAGCGUUAUUCGGAAUUACUGGGCGUAAAGCGCACGUAGGCGGCUUUGUAAGUUAGAGGUGAAAGCCUGGAGCUCAACUCCAGAAUUGCCUUUGAUACUGCAUGGCUUGAAUCCAGGAGAGGUGAGUGGAAUUCCGAGUGUAGAGGUGAAAUUCGUAGAUAUUCGGAAGAACACCAGUGGCGAAGGCGGCUCACUGGACUGGUAUUGACGCUGAGGUGCGAAAGCGUGGGGAGCAAACAGG
rnacentral:rRNA from 1 species